rnacentral:rRNA from 1 species
UACGUAGGGGGCGAGCGUUGUCCGGAAUCAUUGGGCGUAAAGCGUGUGUAGGCGGGCGGGCAAGUACCUUGUGAAAUCCCACGGCUCAACCGUGGAACGGCUGGGUAUACUGCCUGUCUUGAGCCAACUAGGGGCGAGCGGAACAGACGGUGGAGCGGUGAAAUGCGUAGAUAUCGUCUGGAACGCCAAAGGUGAAAACAGCUCGCUGGGGUUGUGCUGACGCUGAGACACGAAAGCCAGGGGAGCGAACGGG